rnacentral:rRNA from 1 species
UAUACAUGCAGUCGAGCGGACAGAUGGGAGCUUGCUCCCUGAUGUUAGCGGCGGACGGGUGAGUAACACGUGGGUAACCUGCCUGUAAGACUGGGAUAACUCCGGGAAACCGGGGCUAAUACCGGAUGGUUGUUUGAACCGCAUGGUUCAGACAUAAAAGGUGGCUUCGGCUACCACUUACAGAUGGACCCGCGGCGCAUUAGCUAGUUGGUGAGGUAACGGCUCACCAAGGCGACGAUGCGUAGCCGACCUGAGAGGGUGAUCGGCCACACUGGGACUGAGACACGGCCCAGACUCCUACGGGAGGCAGCAGUAGGGAAUCUUCCGCAAUGGACGAAAGUCUGACGGAGCAACGCCGCGUGAGUGAUGAAGGUUUUCGGAUCGUAAAGCUCUGUUGUUAGGGAAGAACAAGUGCCGUUCAAAUAGGGCGGCACCUUGACGGUACCUAACCAGAAAGCCACGGCUAACUACGUGCCAGCAGCCGCGGUAAUACGUAGGUGGCAAGCGUUGUCCGGAAUUAUUGGGCGUAAAGGGCUCGCAGGCGGUUUCUUAAGUCUGAUGUGAAAGCCCCCGGCUCAACCGGGGAGGGUCAUUGGAAACUGGGGAACUUGAGUGCAGAAGAGGAGAGUGGAAUUCCACGUGUAGCGGUGAAAUGCGUAGAGAUGUGGAGGAACACCAGUGGCGAAGGCGACUCUCUGGUCUGUAACUGACGCUGAGGAGCGAAAGCGUGGGGAGCGAACAGGAUUAGAUACCCUGGUAGUCCACGCCGUAAACGAUGAGUGCUAAGUGUUAGGGGGUUUCCGCCCCUUAGUGCUGCAGCUAACGCAUUAAGCACUCCGCCUGGGGAGUACGGUCGCAAGACUGAAACUCAAAGGAAUUGACGGGGGCCCGCACAAGCGGUGGAGCAUGUGGUUUAAUUCGAAGCAACGCGAAGAACCUUACCAGGUCUUGACAUCCUCUGACAAUCCUAGAGAUAGGACGUCCCCUUCGGGGGCAGAGUGACAGGUGGUGCAUGGUUGUCGUCAGCUCGUGUCGUGAGAUGUUGGGUUAAGUCCCGCAACGAGCGCAACCCUUGAUCUUAGUUGCCAGCAUUCAGUUGGGCACUCUAAGGUGACUGCCGGUGACAACCGGAAGAAAGGGGGGAUGACGUCAAAUCAUCAUGCCCCUUAUGCUGGGGCUACACACGUGCUAAAAUGG